rnacentral:rRNA from 1 species
AUUGAACGCUGGCGGCAGGCUUAACACAUGCAAGUCGAGCGAGCGGCGGACGGGUGAGUAAUGUCUGGGAAACUGCCUGAUGGAGGGGGAUAACUACUGGAAACGGUAGCUAAUACCGCAUACCAUCAGAUGUGCCCAGAUGGGAUUAGCUAGUAGGUGGGGUAAUGGCUCACCUAGGCGACGAUCCCUAGCUGGUCUGAGAGGAUGACCGGCCAGCUUGGAACGGAGACAGGGUCCAGACUCCUACGGGAGGGAGCGGUGGGGAAUAUUGAACAAUGGGCGCAAGCCUGAUGCAGCCAUGCGGCGGGUGUGAAGAAGGCCUUCGGGUUGUAAAGCACUUUCAGCGAGGAGGCGUUACUCGCAGAAGAAGCACCGGCUAACUCCGUGCCAGCCGCCGCGGUA